GGGGAAUAUUGCACAAUGGGCGAAAGCCUGAUGCAGCAACGCCGCGUGAGUGAUGAAGGCCUUCGGGUUGUAAAGCUCUUUGACCAGGGAUGAUAAUGACAGUACCUGAAAAACAAGCCACGUCUAACUACGUGCCAGCAGCCGCGGUAAUACGUAGGUGGCUAGCGUUGUCCGGAAUUAUUGGGCGUAAAGGAUGCGUAGGUGGAUAUUUAAGUGGGAUGUGAAAUCCCCGGGCUCAACCCGGGAACUGCAUUCCAUACUGGAUGUCUAGAGUGCAGGAGAGGAAAGUGGAAUUCCUAGUGUAGCGGUGAAAUGCGUAGAUAUUAGGAGGAACACCAGUGGCGAAGGCGACUUUCUGGACUGUAACUGACACUGAGGCAUGAAAGCGUGGGUAGCAAAC
rnacentral:rRNA from 1 species